AGCCCCGUAGUGUAGAGGCCAAGCAUACGUGCCUUUGGAGCAUGUGACCCAGGUUCGAAUCCUGGCGGGGCUA
rnacentral:tRNA from 1 species